rnacentral:tRNA from 1 species
GCCUUCUUAGCUCAGUGGUAGAGCGCGUGGCUUUUAACCACGUGGUUUGGUUCGAUCCCCACAACGGUG